UUAAAUUGAAGAGUUUGAUCAUGGCUCAGAUUGAACGCUGGCGGCAGGCCUAACACAUGCAAGUCGAACGGUAACAGGAAGAAGCUUGCUUCUUUGCUGACGAGUGGCGGACGGGUGAGUAAUGUCUGGGAAACUGCCUGAUGGAGGGGGAUAACUACUGGAAACGGUAGCUAAUACCGCAUAACGUCGCAAGACCAAAGAGGGGGACCUUCGGGCCUCUUGCCAUCGGAUGUGCCCAGAUGGGAUUAGCUAG
rnacentral:rRNA from 1 species